GUCUACGGCCAUCCUACCCUGAACAAGCCCGAUCCCGUCUGAUCUCGGAAGCUAAGCAGAGUCGGGCCUGAUUAGUACUUGGAUGGGAGACCACCUAGGAAGACCAGCUGCUGUAGGCA
rfam:Pteropus alecto contig55332, whole genome shotgun sequence.